UACAGAGGGUGCGAGCGUUAAUCGGAGUUACUGGGCGUAAAGGGCGCGUAGGCGGUUGAUUAAGUGAGAUGUGAAAUCCCUGGGCUUAACCUAGGAACUGCAUCUCAUACUGGUUAGCUAGAGUAUUGUAGAGGGUAGUGGAAUUUCCGGUGUAGCGGUGAAAUGCGUAGAGAUCGGAAGGAACACCAGUGGCGAAGGCGGCUACCUGGACAAAUACUGACGCUGAGGCGCGAAAGCGUGGGGAGCAAACAGG
rnacentral:rRNA from 1 species